GACGAACGCUGGCGGCGUGCUUAACACAUGCAAGUCGAACGGAAAGGCCCUGCUUUUGUGGGGUGCUCGAGUGGCGAACGGGUGAGUAACACGUGAGUAACCUGCCCUUGACUUUGGGAUAACUUCAGGAAACUGGGGCUAAUACCGGAUAGGAGCUCCUGCUGCAUGGUGGGGGUUGGAAAGUUUCGGCGGUUGGGGAUGGACUCGCGGCUUAUCAGCUUGUUGGUGGGGUUGUGGCUUACCAAGGCUUUGACGGGUAGCCGGCCUGGGAGGGUGACCGGCCCAAUUGGGCCUGGGUAAGCGCCAGGACGCAUCCGGGGGGAAGGGGUGGGAACAUUUCCCAACAGGGCCGCGGCCGGGUGGAAGAACGCCGGGUCGGGAAAGGCGGCUUUUGGGGUAAAACACAUUUGCACGUAUCCAGACGCGUGGGUACGGUAACUGGGCAAAAAGCCACGGCCAACCACCUG
rnacentral:rRNA from 1 species